GGGGAUGUUUAUAGGCUCGACAGAAAGAUUGGCUUAUUUGUGUGCAGUGGUUUGGUACACCUUAAUACCUCAAGGGUUGAUAACAGGAAAGACUCAACCAAGCAUUUAAUUAGUUUUUUUAAAGCUAAUUAGGGCUAAUUCAUAAUUUUUGAUUUUUAUGUUUUUAGUUCUUAAUCGUUAAAUCAAAUCGUUAAUAAAAAACGUUUCAUUUUUAUUAAUUAAAAUUUCCUGAAAAUAGUUUUAUUUUUUUUUGUUCUGUUUAAAAAAAUAAAAUGAAUCAAAUCAACAGAAAUAAACUGUAGAAAGCAAACAAGUUCCUUUUUGGAAGUGGGUGCAAAUCCCACCAUCUCCACCA
rnacentral:tmRNA from 1 species